rnacentral:rRNA from 1 species
AGAGUUUGAUCAUGGCUCAGAUUGAACGCUGGCGGCAUGCCUUACACAUGCAAGUCGAACGCGAAAGGAGGGGGCAACCCCUCCGAGUAGAGUGGCGGACGGGUGAGUAAUACAUCGGAACGUACCCAGUAGCGGGGGAUAACCUCUCGAAAGAGAGGCUAAUACCGCAUACGACCUACGGGUGAAAGAGGGGGAUCGCAAGACCUCUCACUAUUGGAGCGGCCGAUGUCGGAUUAGCUAGUUGGUGGGGUAAAAGCCUACCAAGGCGACGAUCCGUAGCUGGUCUGAGAGGACGGCCAGCCACACUGGAACUGAGACACGGUCCAGACUCCUACGGGAGGCAGCAGUGGGGAAUUUUGGACAAUGGGCGCAAGCCUGAUCCAGCCAUGCCGCGUGAGUGAAGAAGGCCUUCGGGUUGUAAAGCUCUUUCGGCGGGGACGAAAAGGUCCGUGUUAACACCACGGAUCCAUGACGGUACCCGCAGAAGAAGCACCGGCUAACUACGUGCCAGCAGCCGCGGUAAUACGUAGGGUGCAGGCGUUAAUCGGAAUUACUGGGCGUAAAGCGUGCGCAGGCGGUUUGUUAAGACAGAUGUGAAAUCCCCGGGCUUAACCUGGGAACUGCGUUUGUUACUGGCAAGCUUGAGUGUGGCAGAGGGGGGUGGAAUUCCACGUGUAGCAGUGAAAUGCGUAGAGAUGUGGAGGGACACCGAUGGCGAAGGCAGCCCCCUGGGCUAACACUGACGCUCAUGCACGAAAGCGUGGGGAGCAAACAGGAUUAGAUACCCUGGUAGUCCACGCCCUAAACUAUGUCAACUGGUUGUCGGGGAAGCAAUUCCUUGUAACGAAGCUUACGCGUGAAGUUGACCGCCUGGGAGUACGGCCGCCAGGUUAAACUCAAGGAUUGACGG